GUCUGCGUGGAGCCAACCUUGAAAUACCACCCUUUAAUGUUUGAUGUUCUAACGUGGACCCGUAAUCCGGGUUGCGGACAGUGUCUGGUGGGUAGUUUGACUGGGGCGGUCUCCUCCUAAAGAGUAACGGAGGAGCACGAAGGUUGGCUAAUCCUGGUCGGACAUCAGGAGGUUAGUGCAAUGGCAUAAGCCAGCUUGACUGCGAGCGUGACGGCGCGAGCAGGUGCGAAAGCAGGUCAUAGUGAUCCGGUGGUUCUGAAUGGAAGGGCCAUCGCUCAACGGAUAAAAGGUACUCCGGGGAUAACAGGCUGAUACCGCCCAAGAGUUCAUAUCGACGGCGGUGUUUGGCACCUCGAUGUCGGCUCAUCACAUCCUGGGGCUGAAGUAGGUCCCAAGGGUAUGGCUGUUCGCCAUUUAAAGUGGUACGCGAGCUGGGUUUAGAACGUCGUGAGACAGUUCGGUCCCUAUCUGCCGUGGGCGCUGGAGAACUGAGGGGGGCUGCUCCUAGUACGAGAGGACCGGAGUGGACGCAUCACUGGUGUUCGGGUUGUCAUGCCAAUGGCACUGCCCGGUAGCUAAAUGCGGAAGAGAUAAGUGCUGAAAGCAUCUAAGCACGAAACUUGCCCCGAGAUGAGUUCUCCCUGAGACUUAGAGUCUCCUGA
rnacentral:rRNA from 1 species